UUUCGUCUGGGAAAGCCAAAAAUUAUGCAGUUAUAAUUCUAAACGCUAACUUUACAAGGAACUUUGUCUGGAAUUAGAAGCGUACAAUCUUCUUACUCUGCAUCCUCAAGAAAAUAGCGAAACCUGCAUCAACUUUACAUACAACCACAUUACACCGGCUGCUAGGAUUUAGAACAUCAUAACAGCGCGGCUGCUUACAUGAGGCAAGCUAUUUUUAAACUAUAUACAUGUUUUUACACAGACUAUGGAUAUGCAGUUCUAUAAGUGCUUUAUUUCAGUGCCUGCAUUACCAUCAGGGCUCUUUAUCGACUUCCAGGAACUCUAAUCGCAUACGGCUGCAAGGAUUUGAACAUGCAUAAUUUCUACAUGUACAAGAAUUGGUUUUUCGUUAGCACUGGGCCGUGCACACUUGCCGCGUGCACGCAGGUUGUCACGUUUCACGUCCGCGGUCGUGUAUGAUGCGGUCUUCGAUCGUUUCUGGAUUGCCAGUGUGGCGUAGGAUCUUCUUUCAACAAAUAAUUCAGAACUUCUUAAGUGCAUAUCAUUAAAGACUAUUUGCACAAAACUGUUACGUUUAAUCAUGCUAUUAUGGUUAGUCAAAAUUUAAGCUGUAAACUUUCAUCUAGAAGGCUAUUACUUUCGGAGUACGUCCAUCUAUCAACUGCACAACCCUACUGAUACCGCUCCUCAGUUUUUGGGGGUUCUUAAUUUACAUCGUUAAUGGAGAAUUUUAUAUAAUCAUCUGUGUGUCAUGGCAGGCAACACAAGGCAACGGAUCCAAAUGCAAUGGUUUAUUUCUCAAACCCAAAAGUGCACAAAGCAGAACCAGAAUGAAAACCAGAAUACAGGACUAAAAAGUGAUGACGGCUAACUAUAAUCGACAAAGGACAACUGAAACACAAGGACUGUAUAUAUUCAUGUGGGUAAACAAGAUAUCAAGACACACCUGGGAAAAAAUCUAGAACAAGGACCAACGAACUAGAAGAACUACAGACGUGGAUGACAUUACAGAACUUCAAAUAAAGAGUACAAGACUGGGGAAACCAAGACACGACAGACACCGUGCAAUCUUUAGCAUCAGUCAGAUUUGUUUGUAACCAUCUAAUCUUCUCCCUACUUUAAUAAUGACAAUAUAAAAGCAUGUAUACAUAAAUUGUCUCUCUUCAUCAGGAGCCGCGCUCCUAAUUUCACCGUAUGCAGGAAAACACUAUGACAUUCAAUUCAAUAAUGGCAAGCAAUAAUCAAGGUAUGUUUAAGCAAACUACUGGUGGUGGUGGUGGUGUAUUUAACCAUGCUAAAUCAUGGCCUUUGCCAUUUAUAUCAUUCCUCACUCUGGCAUAACGUUGCUUUCUGUGGCCUUCGCGGCCUCUCUGCUAUCAAGCCUAACGUGGCAGCCUUCUACGGAUAUCCUCUACUGCUGAUAUUAUGAUCGACAUUUACGGACAUGUUAAUGGUAUGUACUGGUGGUGGUGAAUCUUAUUGCAAGCUAACCUGUUGGCUUUUCCUACUGGGCAUAUCGUUGCCUUCCACGGCCUAUGCGGCCUAUCUAACCCUGGCAUAUCUUUGCCCUUCAUGGCCUACACAGCCUCUCUCAACACGGCAUAUCGUUGCCUUCUAUGGCCAUGCGGCCUUUCUCACUCGGCAUAUCGUUGCCUUCUAUGGCCUACGCGGCCUAUCUCUAUCUGGCAUAUCGUUGCCUUCUAUGGCCUACGCGGCCUAUCUCUAUCUGGCAUAUAUCUCUAUCUGGCAUAUCGUUGCCUUCUAUGGCCUACGCGGCCUAUUUUCUCUGGCAUAUCGUUGCCUUCCAAAGGCCUACGCGGCCUUUUCUCACUAGGCAUAUUGUUGCUUUCUAUGGCCUACGCGGCCUAUCUCUGUCUGGCAUAUCGUUGCCUUCUAAAGCCUACGCGGCAUUUUCCCAUUAGGCAUAUCGUUGCCUUCUGUGGCCUGUGCGGCCUAUCUCUGUCUGGCAUAUCGUUGCCUUCUAAAGCCUAUGUGGCUUUUUCCCACUAGGCAUAUCGUUGCCUUCUACGGCCUAUGCGGCCUAUCUCUCCAGCCUAUCUCUCUGGGGCAUAUCGCUGCCUUCUAUGGCCUAAGCGGUAAUCCCAUGGCCUCUUAUGGCAUCCUUCAAUGUCAGUAGAUAACAAUUUCUCUUAUCUGUUUCAGGAACCUCAAAGAAACACUGAUACUGAUGCCAGCAUUUACAACCCACCCUCCCUACCACCAUCACCAGGUCGGUUCCGUCCAUACUCAAGGGGGAUUAGAUUCUGGCCUGUCUUCAUCUUCAGACAGGAACCGCAAGAAUCCGUGACCCCCGGAUUUGAACUAUGGUCGGGGCCUACGCCAAAGAACUAUACUGUGUUACAUUCUAACCUUGGUUGCUAACUACUGUUAAAUAAACUCAUAUGUCAAGUCUUAA